rnacentral:lncRNA from 1 species
GGGGCAGCGGGGUUGGGCUCCGGCCGGGAGUCAGACGAGGGAGCGCGCGCGCGCUCCCGGACAGUCCUCCGCAGCCACUCGCCCGAGCCUUCUACUUGGCCAACACAGCUGGCUCGACCACCUCGCAUGCCCGGUUCGUGGGCUUUCAGUUACCAAGCAUGUCCUGAAGAUGAAGAUACUCUCAGCCUAAUGUCUCCAAGCAAAUAUUGAUUCAGCAGUAUCACCCAGGCAAAGCCACACCAUAUAUCAGUGAACAGAGAAACAACUGCCCUUCUCCGGGCCCUUCUCUGAGAAGCUGGAGCAUCAGCUCUGGAGCUCUCUGGAGCGGUUUCCUAGCUCACUGCCCCCAGCUGAACACAGCCGCAUGCAGAGGUCCAAAGCACGUAAACAGGAUACCCACCCUGCAUUAUCUUAUAUUUUAAGUCAAUAUGAAGAUGGACAUUCUACCCCUGAGACCAAUUUCGAUCAAAUACUUUUGUCAAUAAAAAGAUACUAAUGU